AGGCUUGAAUGCUAUUGAUAGCAAAAGAUUCUUUUUGCUAUCAAAUUUUUAACCCUUGGAUGAGAAAUUGUAGGGUUAGGAUGAUAUUAGUCCCUUAGGGUUAAAUAGUCCCCCUAGAAUUGAGUGGUCCCCGCUGGGUUGUAAUAUUUAAUUCAAUAAUUAGAAAUGAUGAAAAAAAAUAAUCCAAGGACUAAAAACUUGAUAGCAAAAAAGCCUUUUGCUAUCAAUAGUAUUCUAGCCCAACUCUCUC
rnacentral:lncRNA from 1 species